rnacentral:rRNA from 1 species
CCUACGGGAGGCAGCAGUGAGGAAUAUUGGUCAAUGGGCGCGAGCCUGAACCAGCCAAGUCGCGUGAGGGAAGACGGUCCUAUGGAUUGUAAACCUCUUUUGUCGGGGAGCAAAAGACGCCACGCGUGGCGUUCCGAGAGUACCCGAAGAAAAAGCAUCGGCUAACUCCGUGCCAGCAGCCGCGGUAAUACGGAGGAUGCGAGCGUUGUCCGGAUUUAUUGGGUUUAAAGGGUGCGCAGGCGGAAGAUCAAGUCAGCGGUAAAAUUGAGAGGCUCAACCUCUUCGAGCCGUUGAAACUGGUGUGCUUGAGUGAGUGAGAAGUAUGCGGAAUGCGUGGUGUAGCGGUGAAAUGCAUAGAUAUCACGCAGAACUCCGAGUGCGAAGGCAGCAUACCGGCGCUCAACUGACGCUCAUGCACGAAAGUGUGGGUAUCGAACAGGAUUAGAUACCCUAGUAGUC